rnacentral:rRNA from 1 species
AUUCCAGCUCCAAUAGCGUAUAUUAAAGUUGUUGCAGUUAAAAAGCUCGUAGUUGAACUUCAGACCUGGCCGGGCGGUCUGCCUAACGGUAUGUACUGUCUGGCUGGGUCUUACCUCUUGGUGAGCCGGCAUGCCCUUCACUGGGUGUGUCGGGGAACCAGGACUUUUACCUUGAGAAAAUUAGAGUGUUCAAAGCAGGCCUAUGCCCGAAUACAUUAGCAUGGAAUAAUAAAAUAGGAUGUGCGGUUCUAUUUUGUUGGUUUCUAGAGUCGCCGUAAUGAUUAAUAGGGAUAGUUGGGGGCAUUAGUAUUCAGUUGCUAGAGGUGAAAUUCUUGGAUUUACUGAAGACUAACUAUUGCGAAAGCAUUUGCCAAGGAUGUUUUCAUCA